CUGCUGCUCGCACACCCGGGCGCUCACACUCGAGUGGGGGUCCGGGGGGUGGGGUACUGGGCGCGAGCUUGGGUUCCGGCCGUAAGCUGGCGGCGGUAGGAGGGGACGGCAGGUACCUACCUGACUCUCCAUCCUAAGGGUCACCUGAAGGAUGGACAUCCUAGGACCGUCUACCUGGAUGCAUCAGAACUCAUUUCUUUUCAAGGGAGUCAAGAAAGGACAGGUUACUUGGCCAUGCAGCAAUUGACCUCUCCAUGAUUGAAGCUUAAAGAUACAUUCAAGAAAGUUUCAUCUCCACUACAUCCAAAAGGUGCACGACAAUUCACACGUACACCUCUCGGCGCUGCCUCCUUCUCCUGAGAUGCAACUCCAAGACAUUUCCUAGCCGUGCUCCUCAGGUAAGAACAAGGCGCAAGACCAACCCCUGCUCUCCUGGAGCUUACAUUCUAGUGGGGGUGAUGUCAACAGACAGACAAACCAAGAAAAUAGUUACAGAUUUGUAUCCGUGUUCUGAGGGAAACAAACACGACUUUGGAUAGAAAAUACUGGGGGAUCUAGGUGGUCAAGGAAGGUUUCUCAAGGAGAAAAUGACAUUUAAGCCAAAACUUGGAGGAGAGGAGACUGUAUUCGUUUCCUGGGGCUGCCAUAACACAGUACCACAAGCCAGGUGGCGGAAGUAACAGAAACGCAUUGCCUCACAGUUCUGGAAGCUGGAAGUCCAAGAUCAAGGUGUCCACAGGGUUGGCUCCUUCUGAGGGUUAUGGGGGAAGGAUCUGUUCCUUGCCUCCUGGCUUCUGGUGUUGGCCAGCAAUCCUGGGCAUUCUUUGGCUUGUAGCAGCAUCACUCCAUCUCUCCCUUCAUCUUCACGUGGUCUUCUCCCUGGAUGUGUGUCUGUAUCCAAAUUUCCCCAUUUUAUAGGGACACUAGUCUUAUUGGAUUAGGGGCCCACCAUACUCCAAUAUGAUCUCAUCUUAAUUCAUUACAUCUGCAAAGACAAUCUGAGGUAUUGGGGGAUUAGGAUUUCAAUAUAUGAAUUUUGAGGGGGACACACUUCAACACAUAACUGAUAUCCAUCGUGUGAUGAAGCCCCGAGCCAGAGGGAAGACUGAACACAAAGGCCAUGAAAAGCAAAAGGGUCUGGCAUAUUCUGGAAACCAAAAGAAGGUGAAUGUGACUUAAGAGUUCUGAAUGAAGGUAAGAAGGACACAGGCAGGUGGGCAGAGGCCAGAUCAAGGACUUUGGAUUUUAUUCUAAGAUCAAUGGGAAGAUUUUGAAGGGUUCUGUGGUUUUAAAAGGUCACGCUAUAAAUUUCCCAACUGUCUCCUCAACAUCAAUGAAAUGCAAGGAUUUCUUAAUUUGUGUAUUUCUCAGAAGAAUUUGUAACUGUUCUUGCACUGACCUCUCAGUUCAUUACAUGAUGAAUUUGUUGAGGAAACAAUGCAUUGGGGAUAUUUUGAAACAGUUUAAUCUUCUUUUUCAUUUCUUUUUGGCAUUCCUAAGGUAUUUCUUUCCCUUUAACUUUCUGAUUUUCAUCUCCACAAAUAAAUGAAGUAAAUUUUUACUUCAUUCUUUUUACCCUAUCCCCAUAAAAACUUCCCUUAAAAAAAAAAGAAGAUAUAUUCAACUGUGGAUUCCAGGCACAUGCUAUUUUCCUGUUUUGAGUGAAUGAUGAUAAUUUUCAGAGAUUGUGUCACCACAAAAUCAACAUUCAUUCCAAAAUUUAAUGGUUUCAAAUGUAUUUCUUUUUUUGAUUUCUAAACAUUUUCAAAUUUCUUUUCCAUCAGAAACCCCUUGUGUGUAAUAAAUAGUUUCCACAAAACUGAAUUUUUGUUGGCAGAACAAUCGGCGUAAGUAAAACUUCACGAUUUGCCUUGGGUGUUUUGUAAUUUGAAAGCAAAUGUUGGUUUAAACAGCCCACCAUAUAUUUUGUCAAUGUCCAGCUGUGGAUGCUGGGUUUUUAGCACCACUUCUUUCCGGACAACCAAAAAAAAAUAUCACUUUCUUUCCUGUUUUACAUAUUGAGGUUCUGCGUAAGAUUUCAUUUGGGGAAAAGGUUCUGUCGCUUUAAAAAAAAAAUGGAAAAAAGAUCAAAGCCACCAAUACUACUGGCAGUUAGUUUUGCUUCAUUUUCCUAUAACUGGAGAUAAGAAAGAAAACACGACAAACCAUAAGUGAAGACCCUUAAGACUGAAGGAGAGAAAGAAAUAUGCAGACCCAGGAACAGACGCCCGAGGGAGGGUUGAUGGGUGAGUUCACGCUGGGUGGCUGGGCGGAGCCAGCCUCUGCGAAGGGGCCAACAUUGUAGGUUCACCCUCACUUGAGUUGCUCAGGUUGUCUCCAUAUUUCCUUGUUUUUAUUUCCUACCUUGAUGAGACCUUUUCAUCUUUUCAGGGAUGCAGAACCAACAGAUUCAUGACGACUCGUUUCACAAUUCAUCAUAUUUCCUAUUUUACUUGCUCAACUUCCACAUAUAACAGGAUUGGCAGAAGGGAGAGAAAACAACUCAUUUGAAGGCAGUAAAGGGUAGGAUGUCUCUGUCUCUGUCUCUGUCUCUCUCUCUCUCACACACACACACACACACACACACACACACACACACAGUAGAGGAGGAUUCUCUGCAUGCAGAAACUCAAUUCAGAACAUUUUUCCCACAGAAAUAAUAAGAAACCAUGAUGGUAAAAGUAUAUAGUUUUCCUUCAUUAUGGGUUAAAAUAAGAGUUUGUGGGCUGGCCCGGGAAUACACCAUUUUAUAACAUCGUACACGUGGGAAACUUGCAUUCUGAAAUCUAGACAGCUGUUUUCAAAAGACACUAUGAGGGCUCAGUGCGUUGUGUGGGCCUGCGGCUGCCCACCCUCCGCAGGACCGUGCUCAGCAGUUUGGAGGCGAUGAGGAAGAAAGAGGCCUGCUUCCUGAUCUUGAGGCAUUUGCAGUCCACGUUGGGAGUCAGGGCCCACAGUGCAAAGAUGAUUAUUUCAAGAUAGAAAUGGCACGUGGCCCCACUCCCAGGGGACCAGGAUGUAUUAUAAAGAAUGAAGAUCAAGAUGAAAAGAAAGGUUCCUAUUUUGAUCUCCUUUUUGCAAAGACAACAGUGGACACCCCAAAAAAGUCUGAAUUCGAAAGGAUAAAGGUGUAGAUAUGAAGCUGUUAAUAAUGGUCACCUUAAGGACAGAUGACAGCAGACUUGUCAUCAGUUAAGGAUCUGGAAAUGAGAUCAUUCUGGACCAUCCUGGUGGGCCCUCAAUCCAAAGACAAGUGUCCUUAUAAAAGAAGAGAAGAAGACACAGCCACAGAGGACAAGUCCACGUGAGCACAAAGGCGAGACUACAGUGAUGCAGCUGCAAAAGCCAAGGAAUGCUCGGAACCACGGCAAACUGGAAGAGGCGAGGAAGGAUUCUCCCCAGAGCCGUCCUGGGCCAAGAACUACGGUCGGCUUUCUAGUUCCUGUUCUCUCUUCCUAGAAUGUUCUUCUCCAGCUCUUUGCAUGGCUGCUUUGUUCCAUGAGGUCUCACUUAACAUGGGCAAAACCAGCAGAAGGUCAUACACUAUCAGACCGCAUCUCUUACCUACAAGAGGAUCCCUGGCUAGAGAGGUUGGAUUGAAGCUUCCUUCUUUCCUUUCUGGCAGCAGCGAGGAAAGGAGAAGCUUUCUGGAGGCCAGGCUCCGAAGUGCACUGAGCUGGUGAUCCCUCCUGCAGUCGGUGUGAAUGGAUGCUCCUAACCUGCAAAGUAGAGCCUACGGAGCUGCAGGAAGGGAUGGUGAGCUCCAUCUCCCAGGCUCCAGGGAACAGAGGAGCCUUCAGAGACCCUCCCUGGCCCUGUCAGACGAUAGCCAGCGAAGCGGUGGGCACUGCCCAGAACUCUUGGCGUACUGUGUAAAGAGGGGAAGGAGGGUGAGGUGUUCUUUCUUCACAGUGCCCUGGUCCACAGGAGAAGUCAGUCGCCCUGUGGAUAAAAAGGAACCUAGGGGCAGGACAGGAAUAAAGACGCAGACGUACAGAAUGGACUUGAGGACACGGGGAGGGGGAAGGGUCAGCUGGGACGAAGUGAGAGAG